rnacentral:rRNA from 1 species
GACAGAGGGUGCGAACGUUGUUCGGAAUUACUGGGCGUAAAGCGCGUGUAGGCGGCAGCGUAAGUCGGGCGUGAAAUCCCACGGCUCAACCGUGGAAGUGCACUCGAAACUGCGCAGCUAGAGUCCUGGAGAGGAAGGUGGAAUGCUUGGUGUAGAGGUGAAAUUCGUAGAUAUCAAGCGGAACACCGGUGGCGAAGGCGGCCUUCUGGACAGUGACUGGCGCUGAGACGCGAAAGCGUGGGGAGCAAACAGG